UGAGGCCGAUGAUGAUCUAAAUGAUUUUUGCCUACAUUGCAUGAUUAUCUGGACUAAGAUAGUGAUAUAUCUGAAUUUUCUGAGGCCUUU